GACGAACGCUGGCGGCGUGCCUAACACAUGCAAGUCGAACGAGGUCCAUCCUUCGGGAGAAGACCUAGUGGCGAACGGGUGAGUAACACGUGAAGAACCUGCCCCGAAGACCGGGAUAACCCUCCGAAAGGAGAGCUAAUACCGGAUACCCCCACCGAACCGCAUGGUUUGGUGAGGAAAUGGAUUCCGCUUCGGGAGGGCUUCGCGGCCUAUCAGCUAGUUGGUGGGGUAACGGCCCACAAGGCAUCGACGGGUAGCUGGUCUGAGAGGACGAUCAGCCACACUGGGACUGAGACACGGCCCAGACUCCUACGGGAGGCAGCAGUGGGGAAGUCUUGCGCAAUGGGCGAAAGACCUGACGCAGCAACACCGCGUGGGGGA
rnacentral:rRNA from 1 species